UACAGAGGGGGCCAGCGUUAUUCGGAAUUAUUGGGCGUAAAGGGCGCGUAGGCGGCCAUGCGUGUCUUCCCGGUGAAAAUCCCUCGGCUUAACUGAGGACGUGCGGAAGAAACUGCAAGGCUCGAGUCCGGGAGAGGAGGGUGGAAUUCCCAGUGUAGCGGUGAAAUGCGUAGAUAUCAUGAGGAAUACCAGAGGCGAAGGCGGCUCACUG
rnacentral:rRNA from 1 species